rnacentral:lncRNA from 1 species
GCCAGCAUCUUGUAGGUUGGAGACCCUUGCCCCCUCCUUGGUAACGCCACUGUGUUUACGCUUUGGGGGCUGUCCCUCUCCCAGUCGCUGUAGGCACAGGGAUGAGCCAGCAAAUGAGACGAUGUCAUCGCCCUGGCCACAUGACUGGUCUAAUAAAGAGAACAUGACUCACAGGAGCCUCUCAGUGUUACCAUAAGUAGCUUUGCUGGAGCCAUCUGGAAACAUGUGUCCCACAGUGAUGGAGGGGGCUGUGAUCCUGGAGCUGUGGUGGUCUUGUUUUCUGCCAUGUAGAACGUGUCUGCCUGAAAUGGAAGCAGAGUGAAAGCACCCAGUCAGCAAAUUUGAAAAUGUACCAAAGACAAAAGAAAAGGAACCACUCCUGCUCUCCAAAAUCCUGUGAAGUCUUGUGAAGUACUAACUGCACUGUGGGCAAGGUGGCCUCAAAGAGCGAGGACUGGUCAAGUGUACUGUGCCAGAGAGAGUAAAUCAGACUUGGGGACACAUACGCUGGAUUUGAGAGUGGAGGGUUAAAGAAAGGAGGCCAUCUUGGAGAGCAACCGCGGCCUGGGAACAGGGUGAGAGCUGAGAGCAUGCAUCACAUUCCCAGUACCAGUUGUUGGAAGCCAUGAGCCAUCAGGAGACUUAGAACCAUCUGACCUUCAGGAUUGAUCACUAACCUGCGGAAGGAAGGGUGAUGUUCAAUGUUUGAAUUUUCCACCUUAUUGAAAUUAGACUUGUCUGCAACAUUGCUGAACUAAGAAUUAGUUAAUUCAUAUGAAACACCUCUCAUGAUGAUUAACAUAGGUGGUAGCCACUGCAGUUGAAGAUUAUCUGGAAGUUUACAUAUAAGAAGGAUCCAAGCAAAAAUUGUUCUAAAAUAUUUUUCAAUGUGGUCAUCCUUUUCCAUAGCUCCUGCUUAUUGACUGUGUGGCCUACAGGCUGCCCGUGUCCAUCUGGGGGUUGGGGGGACCCUGAUCUAAUCAACACGGACAGGACAGCCUGGGUCAAACUGGCUCUCUCUGAGGUGAUUGAAGGCUGCUGGACUCACACGUUCCGUGGCGCGAAGUCCAAGUGCACACGAGGGCAUAUGGGGCGCUAUGGACUGAAUGUUUGGGUCCCCCCCCAAAAUUCAUAUGUUGAAACGCUGCCCUCCAAUGGGAUGGUAUUGGGAGGUGGGCCUUGGGAGCUGAUUGGGGUGAGAUGAGGUCAUGAGGAAGACACCCCAUGAUGGGAUUAGUGUCCUUAUAAAAAGAGAAGGCACCUGGAGCUCUGUCUCAGCCCUAUGAGGGUGCAGCUAGAAAGCGGCCACCCACAGCCCAGGAAACGGGCUCUCCCCAGGCGUGGAAUCUGCUGGCACCUUGAUCCUGGACAUUGACCUCUGGAACUAAAGAAUACAUGUUUGUUGUUUAAGCCUCUAGUCUACAGUAAUUUGUUAUAGCAGCUGGAGCCUAUUAAGAUGUGGGAGGAGAGCCCUGAAGGAGUGGGACCUUAAGAAAGGGACAUGGUCAGCGUGGCUAGAGAGAGAGGCAGGAAACAGGUGAGAGAGGCCAGGGAGACUGGGGAAUUCUGAUUGCAGAAUACAUGAUUCUGCAAGACUGGCUCACUGGAAGAACUUCCACUUUAGCCCUAGAGGGAGAUGAGCUGUGAGUGGUUUGAGCAGGGGAACAUGAGUGACUGCAUUUUUAGGAGCUCAUGGUUGUUGCUUUCUUGAGGACAGCCUCCAGGGGGAAGGUUGGGACAGAAAGAAGCAGGCACAAGGCAGUUAUGAUAAACCAGGGCAAGGCACUGAGGGAAAAGGUGGGGCUCGGGAGGUGGGGAGAAGGUGCUCCUUUGAGACAGAGCUGGGAGAAUUUGCUGAGGAUUGAUGUGGAGAGGACCCCAGGCCCAAGGAUAUUGCUAUCAUCCACCAGGAUGGAGACGACAAGAGACAGGUUUAAGCCCACGUAGAACUGGAAGAAACCUUCUUUCCUUUUUUCCUUCCUCCUUUUCUCCCUCCUUCCCUCCUUCCCUCCCUCCUUCCCUUCCUUCCCUAUUUCCCCCCCUCCCUUCCUUCCUAUCUUUCUUUUUUCCGGGAUGAGAAAAGCGCCUGCUUGUUUGUGUCCUGACGGGGUGAUCCAGGAGAGGGGAAAUCCCGUGAUGCCCGAGAGGAAGAGGAGAGAAUUGCUGGAGGCCUGUCCUUGAGAUGGCAGGAAGGGAUGGGUUUAGUGCCCCAGAGGAUUUGGCCUUGGUUGGUUCAUGAACAGUUGGCACAAACAAUUCCUCUGCAGUAACAGGAGGGAAGGCCAAGUGUGGGUCUAGACACGGGGAGGUGGGUAGACGCAGACAUCCUUUGUUAAUUGGUUUUUCUCAGUGAAAAAGAAGGUUAGGUCAUCAGAUGAGAGUGAGGCUGGGAGAAGGGUUGAAAGUUUGGGGAGAGGGGAAUAGGAGUGACAUAGUCUCCUAGGAUAGGGGGACACUGAAGUGACCAGGUGAACACAAGAUUUCCAGGCAGCUUGGAGGGUCCUCCUGAGGUCAGUGGUCCUAAAUUCAAGUGCGGCCAGUAGACCAGGUAGGAGUUUUUCUCCAGUAUAAUCAGGUGCAAGGGUGCAGUGAGGGGCUGGUAGAGUUGGGUUUAAUUGGGUUUGGGGGCUUUCCAGGUUAACGUGACUGUGGGAGAAUGGACAAAAGUGCUGAAUGCAUAUGGAGGGGAAGGAUUAAAAUGGUGGGCUCUGGAAUCCAAGCUGGUGUGGAGGGAAUCAAGGAUGAAGAGGAAAGGAGGGACCAUUGCAAAUCUAGCAUCAGGGAGGUGUAGGUCCCAGGGAGAUCAAAUUAUUGUUGGGGUGGAGGUGCAUGGCCAGAAAACUGGAGGUGGGUUCAGGGAGUGGGAUGCUUGACAGAGAUUAUGAAGGGUCACAGUUAUGAUCAUGACACUGUCUAUGAUGUGAUGGAAAGUGGCUCCUGGUAUCCUGUGGGCAGCAGUAACCUGGAAGAGAGGAGGAAGCCACUGAAGGGCCAGGUAUUGGAGGGACCAUCAAUGUGGAUAUGCACACCGAUGCAUUAUAGCAGAAGCAGUGCUGGGGAGACAGACAGGGACCAGGUGCUAAGGUCUUUAGGGAAUGAGGCCGGUGGCCUCAGAGGAGACCUCUAAGGCUCAAGGUUGGUGCCACAGUCUACAGCAUAGGCCACACAGCUUUUUCUUUAGGCAGGGAUUAUGGGGGACAUGAUGAGGGCAGGAGAAAAAGUAUAAACAUUUGAAAAUGAUGGCAAGGAACAAACAGGACUAUCUCCUACUUCUAAGCCCAGGGAUAGAAUGGGUGUGAGCAAAAGACACCGACCCCUCAGCAGACAGAAGCACAAGUGGCCUCUCAGGGCAGCACCAGAUCCAUUCAGGCAAGCGACUGAAGGCAUUGCUCACAGCAGAUAUUUGUGAGCUGCAGAAAAUGACAAAUACAUAGUUUAUUAAUAUUUUCAACUGGAUUCCUAUGACAUUUAUUUUAAAUAACAUGUUUGCUAAGACAUAUGAACUUUUAAGACUCAUUUAUUUCUUACCUGUCCAUCAUUGUUCUUUCAGAAUUCAGACAUUUCAACUCUGGAACUGUUAUUAUCUGGCAAAUUGCAAUGCAUUAUAAUUGUUAUGCUCUUAUGCAGACCAGGCAGCUUUGCUCAAACAAUAGCUGGAUAGUGACAUUCCACGUUUCUAUUUAGUUUGUUUCAGCAGUUGUAAAACACAGGCAGCACUGCUGCCCCCAGGUGGUGUGCAGGAAAACUGCGUCUUCAUCUUCUAAGAAACACCUACCUGAGCGCCUUGUUGGUAUAGGCUGUCUGGCCUCAUCUUUUGAACUUGAUACAACUCAGUGGAAUGACUGUAAAGGCUACUAAAUGUAGUGUUUUACUGUAGCUGAUACACACAGGUAAUUAUUUAUUAAUUGACAACUCUAAGAAAAUGAAUACUCCUCUUCACACCCAGUGCCCCAAUACACAACCAUUGAUGUGUGUAUGAAGAUAAACAUGCAUACAUUUCCAAUUCCUAUGGUGUUUGAAGAAGAGAUGGAUUAGUGUGAAUAUUUAAGAAUUUUCAAUCUUCAGAACUUAAAAUGAGCAUGCAAAUAACCGUUAAGCAUGUGAAAUUAAAUAAAAACUUAAAAGAAUUCAAAUUUAAGCUGUUGGAACUUUAAAUUAUCCCGAGUCUUGAAAGGAAUGACUAUGCAGCCUGCAUCAAGCAUCAUGCAGCUGCAACUUCUGCCUUUCAUGUCACCAUACAUAAUUAAGACCAAAUGGUGCCAGAGAUAAGCCCCCCUCAGAUCACUACCCCUUCUCAUGGAGUAAUAAUUUUUUUUUUUUUUGAGACGGAGUCUCCUCGCUCUGUCACCAGACUGGAGUGCAGUGGUGUGAUCUCAGCUCACUGCAACCUCCACCUUCUGGGUUCAAGUGAUUCUCCUGCCUCGGCCUCCUGAGUAGCUGGGACUACAGGCACGCGCCAUCACGCCCAGCUAAUUUUUGUAUUUUUAGCAGAGAUGGGGUUUCACCAUUUUGGCCAGGAUGGUCUCGAUCUCUUGACCUCGUCAUUUGCCUGCCUUGACCUCCCAAAGUGCUGGGAUUACAGGCAUGAGGCACUGUGCCUGGCCGAGUAAUUUUUUUUUUUUUUUAGAAUGUAACAAUCUGUAAUCAAUCAGAUUGCUGUAGUGUAUGGAAAAUGUUGCAAUCCUGCUAAAAUUUCCAUAUAGAUGAACCCUUAACCUCUCCACUUUGGAACACUGACUCCAUUGGUUCAGUGUUUCGGGGUGGCCAUCCUUGAGCUUUGUACUCAAAUAAACUCUAUACUUAAUCAU